rnacentral:rRNA from 1 species
AUUGAACGCUGGCGGCAGGCCUAACACAUGCAAGUCGAGCGGAUGACGGGAGCUUGCUCCUUGAUUCAGCGGCGGACGGGUGAGUAAUGCCUAGGAAUCUGCCUGGUAGUGGGGGACAACGUUUCGAAAGGAACGCUAAUACCGCAUACGUCCUACGGGAGAAAGCAGGGGACCUUCGGGCCUUGCGCUUUCAGAUGAGCCUAGGUCGGAUUAGCUAGUUGAUGGGGGAAUGGCUCACCAAGGCGACGAUCCGUAACUGGUCUGAGAGGAUGGUCAGUCACACUGGAACUGAGACACGGUCCAGACUCCUACGGGAGGCGGCAGUGGGGAAUAUUGGACAAUGGGCGAAAGCCUGAUCCAGCCAUGCCGCGUGUGUGAAGAAGGUCUUCGGAUUGUAAAGCACUUUAAGUUGGGAGGAAGGGCAGUAAGUUAAUACCUUGCUGUUUUGACGUUACCGACAGAAUAAGCACCGGCUAACUCUGUGCCAGCCGCCGCGGUAAUAC